rnacentral:lncRNA from 1 species
CGGGGCGGAGCAUCCCAUGCGGCGGGGGCGGAGCGAAACUGAUGGCAGGGGUGCGGCUAAAAGUGCUGGAUAACUGCUGCAAGGGAAGCAGGAAGGAGUCCCUGCUUCCCCAACAAACAGUUUCCAGGAGCUGCACUGCCUCCAAAACGAACAGCGGUAACUGUGUGUGUGUGUGUGUGUGUGUGUGUAUGACUUUCUGCCUGUGUGUGUGUAUGACUGUCUGUCUGUGUGUAUGACUGUCUGCCUGUGUGUGUGUGUCACUGUCUGUCUUUGUGUGUGUGUGCCUGUGUGUGUGACUGUCUGCCUGUGUGUGUAUGACUGCGUGUGUGUGUGUGUGUGUGACUGUCUGCUUGUGUGUCUGUGUGCAUAACUGUCUGCCUGUAUGUGUAUGACUGUCUGCCUGUGUGUGUGACUGUGUGUAUGAAAGUCUGCCUGUGUGUGCGUGUGUGUGACUGUGUAUAUGACUGUCUGCCUGUGUGUGUGUAUGACUGUCUGUGUAUGUGUGUGUGUGUGUGGCUUCCUGCCUGUGUGUGUGUGUGUGACUGUCUGCCUGUGUGUGUAUGUGUGUGUGUGUGUGCAUGACUGUCUGCCUGUGUGUGUUUGUGUGGCUGUCUGCCUGUGUGUGUGUGUGUGACUGCCUGCCUCUGUGUGUGUGGAUGUCUUCCUGUGUGUGUAUGGACAUCUGCCUCUGUGUGUGUGUGUGUGGCUGUCUGCCUGCAUGUAUGUGUGUGGCUGUGUGUGUGUGUGCAUGGCUGUCUGCUUGUGUGUGUGUCUGUGUGUGGGUAUGACUGUGUUUGUGUGUGUAUAUGGCUGUCUGCCUGUGUGUGUGUGUGUGUCACUGUCUGUCUUUGUGUGUGUGUCUGUGUGUAUGACUGUCUGACUGUGUGUAUAUGACUACCUGUGCGUGUGUGACUGUCUGCCUGUGUCUGUGUGUAUAACUGUCUGCCUGUGUGUGUGUGUGUGUGUGUGUGUAUAUGACUGUGUGUGUGUCUGUGUAUAUUACUGUCUGCCUGUGUGUGUGUGUGUAUGACUGUCUGCCUGUGUGUGACUGUCUGCCUGUGUGUGUGUGUGGUUGCCUGCCUGUGUGUGUGUGUUUGUGUGGCUGUCUGCCUGUGUGUGUGUGUGUGUAUGUGUGACUGCCUGCCUCUGUGUGUGUGGAUGUCUUCCUGUGUGUGUGUAUGGCCAUCUGCCUCUGUGUGUGUGUGUGUGCAUGUGUGGCUGUCUGCCUGCGUGUAUGUGUGUGGCUAUCUGUGUGUGUGUGUGUGUGGCUGUCUGCCUGCAUGUAUGUGUGUGGCUGUCUGUGUGUGGCUGUCAGCCUGUAUGUGUGUGUGUGUGUGUGUGUCUGUCUGCCUGUGUGUGUGUGUGUGUGUCUGUGUUUGUGUAUGACUGUCUGUGUCUGUAUGGCUGCCUGCGUGUGUCUGUGUGUGUGUUGGUAUGACUGUCUGCUGUGUGUGUGUGUGACUGUUUGCCUUUGUCUGUGUGUGUGUGUAUGACUGCCUGCCUCUGUGUGUGUGUGAGUGCCUGCCUGUGUGUGUGUAUGAUGGUCUGUCUGUGUGUGUGUGUCACUGUCUGUCUUUGUGUGUGUGUGUGUCUGUGUAUAUGACUGUCUGCCUGUGUGGGUAUGUGACUGCCUGUGUGUGUAUGACUGCCUGUGUGUGUGACUGUCUGUCUGUGUGUAUAACUGUCUGCCUGUGUGUGUGUGUGUAUGACUGUCUGACUGUGUGUGUUACUGUUUGUGUGUCUGCCUGUGUAUGUGUAUGACUGUCUGCCUGUGUGUAACUGUCUGCCUGUGUGUGUGUGUGUGGCUGCCUGCCUGUGUGUGUGUUUGUGUGGCUGUCUGCCUGUGUGUGUGACUGCCUGCCUCUGUGUGUGUGGAUGUCUUCCUGUGUGUGUAUGGCCAUCUGCCUCUGUGUGUGUGUGUGUGGCUGUCUGCCUGUGUGUGGCUAUCUGUGCGUGUGUGGCUGUCUGCCUGCAUGUAUGUGUGUGGCUAUCUGUGUGUGUGUGUGUGUGUGUAUGGCUGUCUGCUUGUGUGUGUGUCUGUGUGUGGGUAUGACUGUGUCUGUGUGUGUGUAUGGCUGUCUGCCUGUG